GGGCCGCUAGCUCAGCUGGUAGAGCAACGCCCUUUUAAGGCGUGGGUCACUGGUUCGAAUCCAGUGCGGCUCA
rnacentral:tRNA from 2 species